rnacentral:rRNA from 1 species
GCAGCAGUAGGGAAUCUUCCACAAUGGACGCAAGUCUGAUGGAGCAACGCCGCGUGAGUGAAGAAGGGUUUCGGCUCGUAAAGCUCUGUUGGUAGUGAAGAAAGAUAGAGGUAGUAACUGGCCUUUAUUUGACGGUAAUUACUUAGAAAGUCACGGCUAACUACGUGCCAGCAGCCGCGGUAAUACGUAGGUGGCAAGCGUUGUCCGGAUUUAUUGGGCGUAAAGCGAGUGCAGGCGGUUCAAUAAGUCUGAUGUGAAAGCCUUCGGCUCAACCGGAGAAUUGCAUCAGAAACUGUUGAACUUGAGUGCAGAAGAGGAGAGUGGAACUCCAUGUGUAGCGGUGGAAUGCGUAGAUAUAUGGAAGAACACCAGUGGCGAAGGCGGCUCUCUGGUCUGCAACUGACGCUGAGGCUCGAAAGCAUGGGUAGCGAACAGGAUUAGAUACCCUGGUAGUCCAUGCCGUAAACGAUGAGUGCUAAGUGUUGGGAGGUUUCCGCCUCUCAGU